AUUGAACGCUGGCGGCAUGCCUUACACAUGCAAGUCGAACGGCAGCAUGGGUGCUUGCACCUGAUGGCGAGUGGCGAACGGGUGAGUAAUGCAUCGGAACGUACCCGGAAGUGGGGGAUAACGUAGCGAAAGUUACGCUAAUACCGCAUAUUCUGUGAGCAGGAAAGCAGGGGAUCGCAAGACCUUGCGUUCUGGGAGCGGCCGAUGUCGGAUUAGCUAGUUGGUGGGGUAAAGGCCUACCAAGGCGACGAUCCGUAGCGGGUCUGAGAGGAUGAUCCGCCACACUGGGACUGAGACACGGCCCAGACUCCUACGGGAGGCAGCAGUGGGGAAUUUUGGACAAUGGGCGGAAGCCUGAUCCAGCCAUGCCGCGUGAGUGAAGAAGGC
rnacentral:rRNA from 1 species